CGGGGCGUAGUGCAGCCUGGUAGCAUCACUGCUUUGGGAGCAGUAGGUCGGAGGUUCAAAUCCUCUCGCCCCGACCA
rnacentral:tRNA from 1 species